ACAAAAGCUUUCUUCAUUCACCCUCACUGGUGGGAAGAUCAGCUGGGGUUAGCUGGAGUCUGAGACAACAAGGCUCAGGGUCUCUGGCAUCUCGUCACACACAGCGGCACCUGCCUAGAAAGUCCAAGUCUUCUGCUGUGGAAGCCAGUCCUUCCAGUCUCAUCUGGAAGCCUCUCAGUCUAAAUGAACAAGGUAAAAAUGCUGAAGUGUCCAAAAUAAUGCAUUUGCAGGGAGGAUCAACUGAGAAGAGAAGCUGAGGGUGGCAAUAUCCAUUAUUCUGGAGUCCCUGCAAAAAGAAGCACAAGUUCUUUGCAAAAUGACUUUCCACCUGAACACAGUGGAACAGAUCUAGGAGUCCCAGCAGCAGCUGUGGGAAAAGGGUGAAACCCAUGUCACAAACCCAGGGCACCAUACUGGGGUGGUGGCACCUGCCGGGGCCCCCAGCUGGGGCAGCCACAGGGGACAUGGUGCCCACUCCUCCUCACAGCUCCCAGCACCUUGCAUGGAUAUCCCUCACUUCUCCCCUGUGCCCGGUGUUGUGUUUCCGUGCAUAUCCCUAGCAAUUUUUGUGCUGAACCACUCCAUGACAAGCUUAUUCAUCAUCCAAACCCAAAGAGACUUUCUGCUCAAUUGCCUCCAGAAACACCUCUCUUCUCGACACCAGGUAGGCCCCGGACGAAGCCCUCAGAUGCUGCUGCUCCCUGUUGCCCUGUCUGCUCACAGAGCACCAAGCACCCCAAAUCCCAUCCAAGGACCAGCCUGCUCCCAGGAGAGAAGAAGGAUGCAGGCCUGGGGACUGUGGGAGGGCAGCAGGUGCUCCCCAGCUCCCCUAACAUCCCUGGCCACCACUUUCCUAGCUAACACUGGGCGUUUUGGUUUUUUUUGUGUGUGUAGCUCAGAAUUUCUGUCUGAAUCUGUCAUUUGGCUUCUCCUAAUGCAUGUUUUUUGCUGGAAAUCUGCCUUACUUUAGUGUGGUUAGUCCAAGUGCUUUUGAACACACCGAUUUUACAAAAUAACAGAAAAAUGUUUUACUCUUCCAGGCACAUCAUCCUCUGCACCCAGGCGCUUGGAUGAGUAUGAUGCUGAAACCCAUUGGUCUAAUAAGAAGGUUUUUCCUUUUGCCUAGGGCUAAGGAGAGGUUUAGGGGAGAGUUUAACACUGCUGUGGAGCAGGCUCGCACCCACAGGUGACCUACACAUCCGAGUUAGAUGAAGCUGUUCACCUGUUUUGCAGUCACAGCUGAAAUCACUGAGGACACCCUUUCCCCCCCACCCCCACCAGUGGCUACAUAUUAAGGUCUCUCCUCUUAUUGUAUUUGAAUGGCUCUGUCCUGCUGAGUGGAAGCAAUUUUGGAGGUAUGGGUCUGGCAGGUUUGUUUCUUAAGUGUGCUGUUUCUGAGAAAAUGUUUGUGUUAGGAAACACUUUUGUUGUUUUGUUGGGUUUUGGGUUUUUUUUUUUUUUUCACCCUUUGGUUUGUGCUGGUUAUUUUCUGUAGUGGUUAUUUUCUGUAGUAGUUAUUUUACUUGUUCUGUAGCAUAGUAACUGAGUUUAUUAGGCUGAGCAGGGAUUAAGGUAUUAAAGUACAAUAGUCCUACAGUUUUAUCUUGAAGCUUUCAGUCUGUUUGGAGCUACGGUUGAUUUUUUUCAAAAAAUGUACCUGCUUGGUAAUAAAGCAUCCCUUUUGUUUUUCACUUCACCCAAGGGUAAAUUGCAAUUUUCUUGUCUUCUGCUUUCCAAAAUGGAAAAAAUCUGAAGCUUAUUUAGAGCGUGGUUUAUGCCACAACAGAGGCUGCAUUCUGUCCAACCAUUCAGUAAAGCCACCUAUGUGAUGAGGAGCUAUGUCAGCUUUGGAAUUAUGCUAAAUUUCGAGGGUACAUCUUAAAAUGCAAGAAAAAAGAAUGCAAUGAGAAUGGCUCAUAAAAUUCCCAUUAAGAGUCAUGUUUGAUACUUCCUUAAAAUUUCAUGUACUUAUGGAAUGCCUUUUGCCGACACUAAAGACAUUAAUUAUGAGUGCCUUCUCAUGCAAGGCUUACAGCAUCUCUUAUACAGCUUUAGAAACUUCCUGUGACAAUCUGUAUCCUAAUGCCUCAAACCACUUUGCUUAGGCAGUCAUCUGCAGAACAAAACCUUUCCUCAAACCAUUUAAAUACUUUAAUUUGUACUCUUCACAGGUCCAUAGCAAGCUGUUAAAAAUGCUAACAAGUCCCUCUCAAGCUAUAUUUGAAGUUACAUCUACCACUAAUGGCAAAAACUAACAAAAUGUUGAUAGGGUUAUUGCUGGUACUAUGCAAAAUAAGAAUACAUUUUAUUGUAAGCAUCUUUUUUGCUAGAACAUGGUAAGCAUAUGCAAGUGCAGAACACAUUGCAAAAUAUCUUCACUCUAGCACAGCUGAAGGAGCAAAGGUAAUUGUGAAGCUAUUUGGUCAGGAGUAAUGCUGCUCUGUAAAAUAAAGGGUUUGUUACUAAUUUAAUGCUGCUUAAAAUACUGCAUUUAUGUAUAUGGAUUGUAAAUGCUUUCUCAUCUUGGGUAGAAGAGCUUGUUUCUAUUUUUCUCCCCCUGUGCGGCAAGGUAUGAAAUUAUAGGUGGGCAGGCAGCAAAAAAAUCAACCACUCACAAAAUUCUGAGUUCGGUCUUUUCUGGUGAGUUUGUAGCUGUUUUCUUGUUUUGUUUCUUUUAACUGCAUUAUUUAUAAGCAUUGUCAUUUUGUGAUUGUUACAAUAGGAUGUACACAGGCACAAAGAUGCAAGGAGGAGACUGGCUUUUUGGAGGCUCUGGCAGUUUGUAGCAGAGGAAUCAGAGGAAGCCAAGGCCUGGGGAAAGGAUGGGUCUCGCCCACGCUCUAGACAGAUUUUUGGGAGAGCUGUUUGUCAAGAGUUAAUAAGCAUUUGAAGAAGACACACUCUGUGAACCUUCUCCAUAUUCAGAUGGAUAUAAGCCCAACAGACAUAUGUAGGUCAGCAAAGGGGAGCUACCUUGCAAAACUAGGUUAGGGAAUCUACUCUGAAAAUAGGUUUCCUUGUUUUUCUCUUGGCAAUUAUCCAACAGAAGAAAAAGGUGGCUACAAAUAUAUAUAUUUUUUUUCCCCUCAGCAUAAUCACAUGACAGCAAUACCAGAGAGGGAUUUGCAGAUAAAGCUUGUGAUGUUUGGUGUCUGGGUGUUCUUGACCCACAGCUGUACCUCCUAACUCACCAGUCUGACAAAUGGUUCGAGCUAGGUUUGGUGGAUGAAGUAGAUUGAUUUAUUCCCAUUAUAAAGGUGAUGUUUCCUGGCAGAGCUGAUUUAUUUUUAAGGAAUCUUGGGGGAGAGGGUGGAAAAAACACUAUUAUUGCUAGAAAGAAAGGUGUUCAGUUUGAGAGCUGGGUUUAGUUAUCUCCUCUACUUUUUCUCCUGAAGUCAGGCCAGAUAAAGUUACAAGGAUUUAAUUUUAGGAGCUAACUUAGGGAAAACACAAGGGUUUUUUAAAACUUGUUUACCUGCUACAGGAAACAACUAUUAAUACUGUAUCCAAGGUCAGAUUGAGUACUGCAUGCAUUACAUAUGCCUGACUUCCUCCACUCCAGCAUCUCUGAUUUAUAGCAGUAUCUUCCCACUAUUUCUCUUUUUAUUCAGAAAAUUCUGCAGUGCAGUAGACUUGGGGUGGUAGAAAUUGAGGGAAUAUGGCUUAUCUCCAACAGCUAAUACAAAUCUGUACAGCUGAGAGAUGUCCUCUGCUUCCUUUUUGGUAUCUUGUAUAAAGUUGUCCUUCUCAAGGUUUCUGCUAUGUUUAUCAUGCUCUACUUCUCUUUCUGUGUCAUGCCUAAUAGUUCACUUCUAUUCUUCUAAAAAUAGUGCUGCUAUUCUAGGCUGUGAUUUAUACCAGGGGUAGCAGACGUGACAGUUAUUCAGGACUUUCUUUUUUUCUUAAAAAAAUAAUAAUAAUUUAAGGAAAAAAAAAAAGGGCAGUUGUGGUUUUGGCCAAGUCUCCAGGAAAUCUGCACUGGAUGGAGGUAUCUGUGCAGGGAUGACAGAGAAGCUUCUGGGACCUUCCUGGGAGGUGCCAGGGUAUGGGGACUCACCUGUUGAGAUCACUUGUGAAAUCACUGCUGAACUGGUAUUUUAGGACUAAUUUGACAUGGAAGACUUUUAGGACAAACUGCAGUGUAUGGACAUCAGUUCUCCUCUUUACAGUCAGCAGUGUAAGGAACAUGCGAAACCAAUGUAGUGCACAACACAUGACUGAGGUUUGUGGGAAUGGAUGGCUGCAGGUGUUUGGCAAUCCUUGCAGGUAGCAGAGCAAUCUGGAGAAGGGGGAGGUCUUGCCUUUCCAUCUGAGCUGUGCUUGAUCUGUGAGCUUUCCAGAGCACUGCAGGGAUCAGGUGCUCUUUGGUUGUUACUCUUUGUUAACAGUCUAUAUUUUUACCUUUGGAUUAACAGCUUAAUCUCCAUAGGAUGUGACUUGCUCUGACAGCUUUCUCAGCUUGAAUAGAUUUAUUGGUGAUAAUGUUUACUGUAAAUGUAGAGCAGCAAGAAAUAGAGAUGUAACUUUUGAUUUCAGAUCAAAUGAACCUUUUAUUCCUAUCUAGUUAAUUGAGCCAAUAUAGAUUAAAUUCUCCAACAUACAGCUUUUCCUCUCUGUGAUUUAAAUGGAUUAAUCUUUCUUAGAAAGCUAUCACUAAUUAUAUUACUGUACUGGGCUAUUAAGUCUGUUCCUUAAGAAGUUACUAUUUUUAUAUGGCUACAAUAGCCUGAAGUAAUUACAAGCCCAGUAUUACUUGAAGCCCUUUGGUUUAGCACCCUUCUGCUGAAAUUUAUUGUUUCCACUAAUGUCUUAAAAUACUGGGAAGGGAUAAUAGUGUAUAGAGGGAAUUUCAACAAGCACUAUCAAAGCAAUAGUUGAAGAUACCCUAACAUACUAGUAUUCCUUUGUUCCCCUGCAUAAUCACACUGGGUUAAUUACAUGUCUAUUUGAGAAGAGGAAGAAGGUGUUCAAUAUUAGUAUGUAGUAGAUUUCUUUUAGAUGCUAAGAAUCCUAAGUAAUUUAUUUUAUUUGGUUGAUGAUGGAAAGCUAAAAUGAUGACUUACUGCAAAUUUCAAGUUGGUGAGAUUGCCUGGAGAUCAAAAUUCACAAUGUCAAAGGCCAAAUUUCUCUUUGUUUGUAUUAUUAGAAUUGUAAAAUACUGGGCUGCUGUUGUCUGUAGGGAAUGGCGUUAGUGAAGUACUUGCCAAUUAUCAAAUACCUCGUUUCUUAUGUGGGCAAAGUCUACCUCAUUGUAUGUAUGUGUAAAUGGGAAGAACUGAAAAAGGGUUUGUCACUGGAGACAAAAAUUUCUCACCUGACUUUUAUAAAAGAUAUGUCAUGAAGACAAACAGGAGUGAAUUUCAUUAUUUAUGGUUUAAAUAUCACUUUAAUCAAGAAGAUGUCUUAAGUAGCCAGUUUAAUCAUUGUCAUCAACUUCAUCAGGGUGAUUGAAAGAAUCAUUACUUUAGCAACUGAUUAUCAAGAGCUGGAUGUGGUGUUCUCACUAAUACCGGAGCUGCUCAUUAGAAAGAUGUCAGAGGUCCCUGACAGUAUCUCUGCGUAAUCUGCCCUGGUGCUUUUGCUGUAUUUUGCUAGAGUGUGUGGAUUUUUCCUUAGAUUAAACUUCCUUCAGUGUAAUUCAAAUUAAUUACUAUUUUUUAUUUAAAAUAUUUAUGCAUAAAGCUUGUUGACAAAAGCAGAGUGUGCAGAAUUCUGUUUAAUUGCUUGUUAGGCUUUACAACCAGGGCUAAACAAAUCACUAACUACUUAAACACAGUUGGAAAAAAAAAAAUGUAAAAGGAUUAGAAUUUCGGGAGGAAAACAAAAAAAUAAAAAAGUGCACCUAAACAAGACAAAAUCCCAGAACAACGUAAGCUGGAGUGGACAGGUGGUUGAUCUGUGGUCUGAUGAAAAAUCAAUGUUGUGCAAGACCAAUAAAAUUAUAGUUUUGAAGUUAAGGUGUGAGGUUCCCCAUGUGGAAUAAGAAGAUAAAUUGAUUAAGAAAAUGAUUCAUGUGUAGCACACCCAUGAGGUAUUUCAGGUAGAUACAGGAAAAAUAAUCUUUACCCAUUUUGGGACGGGAACACUCAUGUCAAUCCUGUUCAGCUUCUUAUGACAGGCAUUUCCCCAGUUGUAAUGUUCCCAGUACCAACUCCUCCAGGGCUUUUCCUGCUCUUUGGUUACAUGAAUGCUGGGGUGCCAUAUGUACACUGUUUCUCUGAAAAUAAGACAGGGUAUUAUAUAUAAUUCCCUGUAUAUAUAUUAUAUACGUUUGCUCCAAAACGUAUUACUUUUUUAUAUGCAUAGCUGCCUGGACACCAUUUCAAUUGACAUUUUAUGAACUGUAACUAGGGCUUAUUUCUGUAGUAGGGCUUAUUUUGAGCAUCCCGAAAAAUGAUACUAGGGCCUAUUUUAGGGGUAGGUCUUAUUUUCAGGGAACAGGGUAUUGUCUGCUGAGGUCUUGAGUACCUGUUGUCAAUAUUAGUGAGGUAUCUCUCAGAACAUUGGAUUCUCCAGAUCCACACAGCUGGCUUUUCAGCUGUUACCAAAAUAUUUCAUGGGAAUGAGUAGAGCUCCUCCAAAACAAAGCAUUAUUCUCUGCCACCAUAGGGUAUGUGAUAUCAUAGGGAGGUGAUGUUUUUGAGCCUGAAGUUGACAGAGGAGAUGUCACCAGGUUUUCUGCACUGGCAUGGGUAUCUUGUGCAUAGAGUUGUGCUGUCACUCCACCUUUCUGCCCUCCAGAGUGAGGGUGGGUGGCGCUGGUGCCACCAGCUUCCCUGAAGUGAUGCUCUGUGCAGGCUGGUCCCAGGCUGACCCUACCCUGACCACAGCUGGUGCUGCUGCAGCAGAGCUGUGCUUGGAUCAGGCCUCUGUGAGUCACGUUCAUUAUUGUUCACAUGUGUAGAAGAGUCUGAACCAAAUUUUUCUUUCGUACUUUAAGCUGACAAUCUUUAGCAUCAAACGAGUGUUCCUGCUGUGGCUGCUCUUUCAAAACACAUGCUGAAAUUUUAUUUCUAUUACUGCUUACUAAUGACAGGUGACAAUCUUUCUUUCUCUUGCUUACAUUUGUUUCUGACCCUGCAGGUGGGCUUUCACAGAUCCCCUUUCCACUGAGGUGUUGCUCUCCAUGUUGCCUGGAAGGAGCAUUUGGUACAAUUAACAGGCUUUUUAUGACAGUACUGUUAUUUUGGAGUACCUGAGUGUGGUUGACAAAGCACCUGUGACUUUCCGGUAAGGAGAAACAAGCUGAAAACAGACUGACUGUGCUAGGGAGCAGCAGCCAGGCUUGGCAAACUUUGAUGGCUGGCUACACUGAGACCAUGGUUGCUUCAGUGCCCUAAAAUGAGGACUCCAGAUUUGUUUCCAUGCAGGAGGACAACCAAACCUUUUAAAUGUAGCAAAUAACUGGCAGCAGACUGCAGGAGUACCAAAGGCAGCAAUGAAACACAUCUGAUGACUCAGGGUGGCUUGUCAGUGCUUGCGUGCGUGUUGACAGCAGAUGAUGCUUGCUGUCCCAGUUCUGAUAGCAGGAGCUGUGCCACCACCCACACCGAUCCCUGUUUGGCCAGAGACUGGACACAGGAGUUGUCCUAGACCAUGUGCAUGGGAGCCAGUGAUCUCUGCUAUAACAGUGACAAGGAGGGAGUUUACCAUAGGACAAGCUAGUCCCCAGCUCUUAAAUCUCUUUCAAUUAUUACUACUGCAGUGCAUUCACCAAAUUAGUGGUCAUGGGAAGCACUGGGAAGGACAAGUAGAGGGCAGGUCAGCCAGAUUUCUAAAGUAUGACAUACAGCUUUCUGAGCAAAAGGAGAAUGUGGUUAUGCUGUUUUGUCUGCAACUGAAGAAAGAAGUCAGUUGUUGCACUAAUGAAAAAUGCUACUUCAAUGUUUCUGCUUCUGCCUUGUUCAUGCUUUUCCAACAUACUUCCUUCUAGAUUUCUUUAUUACUACUAUCUAUUUUAGAUUAUUUAGUUUUUGUGGUCAAAAUGAACAGAUGGAGAGGGAUGUGCUAUUCCCUAGCAUGUUCUAAACUACAUCAGCCCAGUGAGUUUAAGCAUCAGUGCAAAUAGCUGAAGCUAGAAUCAUAAACAAUUGCUGUAUCUAACACAAAUGGUGCAUUUCAUCCUGCUAAUGGAGGAGGUAUGUAUUAACCUCCCACCAACGUGGCAGAAUUUCAGAAAGUUCAUGCGUAUGCUUUCUUGUUGACCUAUUUAAAGAACAAGAUUAUUUACUUUUGUAGGUUGCUGUGGAAAGAGGUGGUGCAUUUGUAACAGGAGUAUUUUUGUAGAAUAUGUUAAAAUUAUUGAAAACUUUGAAAGCAAAUCUACUGUUAACUAUAAUAAAAAUAAAUUCUUGAGGGGCAAGAUUAGGAGUCCCAAAGACAAACAGCAUCGUGCUGAAUUAAACUAGAGUUGUUUAAUUAAGGACUGCUAAAAUGCAAAAUACUAUGAAAUAAUCUGAUUUGGCUAACUUUUAGCAUCAAUCAUACUAAGUGCUCCCAUCUUAGAUAGGUAAAAAUCUUUAUAAAUAAAUCAUCCUUUUAUCUAAGGCCAGUGCUAGUAGUCUAUCGGGGGGUUUCAGGAAAUGGGACUGAGAGGAAAAUCAAGAAGCCAAAGUAACAUCAACUCUUCCAUCUCUUUAGAUGAGUGCUUACCUAACCUUUAUUCAAAGUUUGUGUAAUUUCCCUGGGCAGCCUGUUCCGUUCAUUUUAAAUUUGAAUCCUAUAUUGUCUUUGCAGUUGAAGACAAUUACUGGGUUUUUUUCACCUAGGAUAUGCAGAAUAGAUUACCCUUUCCUACUUUGUUCAUAGCUCUGAGUAUUUCAAAACUGUUACAAACCUCUUUGAGUGUGGAGUGCUCCUGUUUUCCCAAAGGUUUUGUUCUGGAACCAUCUUGUCUCUUAACUCCUUUCCAUCAAGGAAGACAUCAGCCAGUGCCUUCCCCUGUUUAACAAUGAAAACUUGUAAUUACUAAGUGCAGAGUGCUUUGCCAGCAUUUCAACCUCCAUGUCAUAGUGACCUCAUUUAGCCUGUAUUUCCUCUGUGUUUUAUGAGAGAGGUUAACUAUAUGUAUAUAUAUGUAUAUAUAUAUAUAUAUGUAUAUAUAUAUAUAUAUAUAUAUAUAUGUGUGUGUGUAUAUAUAUAUAUAUAUUAUUUUUUUUUACUUGUAACCAAGAUAUGACCCUUCCUAGGGCUUACCUACCUACAUGGUCUGAUCUGCUGUCCAGGAAGGAAAUUGGACUGGUUUGGUACAGUUUGUGUGUUUGUGUUUGACAAAGUCAUGUCUGUUGUUAGUACCUGCAGACCCCUGCAAAACUUCCUGUUUUUUUUCUACUGGUAUCCUGUAAAAACUACCCUUUAAGAAAUCAGGUUUUCUGGUUAGCCUACAUCUCCUUUUUUUUCUCCUAUCCUCAGUUCUCUCUGAGAGGCACUGUGCUUGAUCUUUUCCAAUAUUUCUAGACCCUGGACCUCUUGAAAUUAAUGUUUAACAGUUUGGAGAGUAGAAACUGACUGAACCCACAUCUUCCAUAAAGCCCAAGGAAAGUAUUUGCAAAGGCAGGAAUGCAGGAACUGACUGUGCCUCAGGAACACAUCCUGCCAGAUCUGCACCAGGCUUUGGGGCUCAAGUACUUUCUGGCAUAACCACACACAAACUCCAGGCAGUGUUAUAAGCAACACAGCUUGGUUUUGAAUAAAUGAUUUAAAGUAUGGGUCUUGUGGACUUCAAAGAACAGAUGCAUUGGGCCAUAGUGAUAUUUCAUGUGUGUUAAAAGCAUAUUUCCAUGGAUACCCAACAGAAGUUAUUCCAAAUUAAUGUACUUGGAAUUCAUAUUUUUAAUGUUCCCUGUGGGAGUUCUGGUUCAGAAAUAAAGUAGUUUUACUGAAUUUUUGAUGUGGCUGCUGUUCUUCAGCUGGUUCAAGGUGAUCCAUUUAUUAGACAUUUUAAACAUUUAAAUAAGAAUUAAUGACUAAACAUGAGCCUGAGCAGCGGAGUUUUCACAAUCAUAGUAUGACAAAAUGAAGUUUCAAUAAAUAAAUUUUUGUGUCUUGGGAUAUCCGAUGUGUUUUACACACUAAAAAAAGGCAUAGUAAAUAUGAAAUCAAGGUUCUUUAACCUGAAAUAGCUUUAUGGAAAAUUUGGAAUAACAACAAUUAAGAGAGUCAUCAUUGGCUUCUGUAUUUUCUAAAUGCUCUUGUGGCUCACCAGUGGCAUGUUAAAUAUUGGCGAUAUUACUCUAUGUAUACUACAUAUACUUCCCUAUGGAGACUGGAAGUUGGGAAUGAUCAGCUGUUCACCUCAUGAUCAUAGUUUGAAUGGAUGUGAAUAUGAUUGUCUCCUUUGCUUCAGCUAGUAGGGAAUCACUGAGUCACAAUGAUGAAGAAUAAUCUAUCUGUUCAGUUAAUGAUUGAAACAAAAAGCUGUUGUGUCCAGUUAACAUAAAUUCUUCUGAAAGCUAGGACAAACAUUGGAUUACUUAUCCUACCCAAAAUAAAUGCUUCUAGUUUAUCCCUCAGUAGUUAACAGAAAGUUUGCUGGUACUAAUAAAUUGUUUAAUCAGAGUCUUAAGAAUUGCCUACCAAUCACUACUCAGGUAAUAGAGACCCUGCAUGGCCUCAAAGUUCACUGGAUUUUUCAAAGCAUAUGCAUAUUGUAGCAUCAAGGAUGGAUUUCCCAUCAGAUGUGCUUUCAGCAUCCUAUUUUGGCAGAGUUGGGUUGUAUAUGUACCUACUGAUUUCAUUAAAUUAUUUUGAGUAGCCAAAACCCAGUGAAUAUGUUCUCUUCCCAAGAAGGAAUACUAGCCAUCAUUGUCUUUCCAGAAGACACUGACUUUUUGUAGGACUAUGAGGAGGUAGCACGUAGUGAAAAUACUGCAGCACAGAUACGCGCGUACAAGUUAAAUCUCAGACUGCAGGAGAGCUCUGCAGAGAAAGACUGGUGAUGUUUCUGAAACUGCGGGAGUUCUACAGCUUCAGUUUGCACAGCUGAACAUCCUCCUGCCCCACCAGGGCAGGGCAGGGGCAGCUCUCCAGCCAGAGGAUCGCCCUUGGUGCCUGGUGGGAAAAUUGCACAAAAGGAUCUCGGAGAACAGGGGAAGUAAAAUAAUGGGGUGGGGUGAGGGAGAGGAGGGAAAAAAAAGGAAAAGAUGUGCACAGUAAAGUUUAUACCCAGAAAAAAUAGCCUCUCUAUAUUUCUACAGUAGCUAGAUCAAUUCAGCAGUUUUGCAGGUAACAGUUGCUUCUUGCUUUCCCACUGAAAGUGGUAGGAAAGAGCCGUAUUAAAAGUGGUUGUAAUGCUUUAAUUUAUUCUUAAUUAAAUCUUACUGCAUUCUAUUUCACUUUCAAAUUUUCCAUUUUAUGCAUGAUGUGUAAUUCUGACUAACUAUUCAUGCUUAAGUUGCUGUUUAUGCAUGUACUUUCUGUGGUUGCUAACAAAAAUUUAACUCUGAUUUCAUAACACUACUUUUAAGAAAGCCCUAGGGAAUGUGUGCAGUGUUUUUUGCUUUUAAAUCUCAGAUACUGUGGACUGGGUUAAGACUUCAAAAUGAAAGAUCAGGAGCCUCUAUUUUCUUCUUUUGUGACUAUGACACCAUCACGAUAUGUAUUUGGGUGAUUAUUCUUCCUUUGGAAUGCUUGAUGAAGAAAACAAAAGGAAUGGUUCAAGAGGUGUUUGUGUGGUUUUUGUGUAUGUAUUUGUACCUAUUUUCCUUCAGUCAUUAAUCAAACAGUGAAAUGUGACACUACUAGACUAAAUUCAAGCAGAGAUUAUUUCACUACCAUUUGACUGUUGGGCAUCAGCUUGUUAAAAUGUGAGUCUUUGCCUUUUGUCCUCAUAGUUUAGGAAUAAAGCUAAUUGUGUUUUCUGUGAGGGUGAGAACAAAUAGGAAAUCAAAGGUAGAGGGUCAAAAAUUAGUGAUCAUAGCAUUAAAUACUGGCGGGCUUCCACAUAACAGCAAACUUGACAUUGAAGGCUGUUUUUCAGCUGUGAACAGACAGACUCAUAGUCAUGUUCUUGCCAACCCACUGAUAGCAGAUUGUAGCUUUCCCGUAUUCAGCUGAUGUCCUGACCCUGUAUUCCUGUACCAGCUCUUACCUGAUGUUUCUUAUCCGUUAUACUUGGAAAUACUUUGUUAUAUUUGAUGCUGUGUAUCACAACGUAACUACAGUGAAGCCAGGGCAAAUAUAGCAAAACACAUCCUAGCUGUGGGUGGGAAACUGACUGGACUAUUGAACUUAAAGAGCAAUGAACAGUGGAACAAAUCAUUAUAGAAGUGGACAAGUGAGUUUGAUGUUGCUGGCCCAAAAAGAAUGGCAUGUAGCAUUUCAAGUGAAAGAAAACUGCUGUUAUCAGAACAAGGCAAAUGACAGAUGAACGGUCCUGAAUGGAACCAGCUGACUGUGGGGUGCAGGUACCUCCAUUAGCUCUAUACAUACUGUUGAUAUAAAGCAGAAUUAAAAAUUAUAUUCUGAGAAGCUACUCAAGAAAACCAAAGGUUAUACAGAAAUAGAAGUAGAGUAUACAGAAGUAGAGUAUAUGAAACAUAUUUAAACCCUUAUUUGCAAUCAGAUUAGCAUAGUCUGAACAAUCUCCUGUAUCUAGGACUCAAAUGUGUGAAGGUUGAAUUGCAUUAGUACUCAGGUGGCCUCUUAGACAAAACUAGCUCUAUCUGAUUUUUCUGUCUGAUGCAGAACAGUGGACUUUAAUGUGUCUCCAUCUGCCUCCGGUAAUUUUAACAAAAAGUGGAUGUUGCAGUAUAUUCUACAGAACUAAAAAAUUGAGGCAGUGAGACAGAUCUAUUCAAGUUAGAGUUUUGCAUUGCUUUCUAAUCACUAGGGAAAGUUAGCCGUAGAGAAAAAUGUCAUUUUAAGAAUUAAAUAACAUCUCUAGAAUUUUUCCCCUCUGUGCUUUCUCAGGAAAUACUUGAUGCUGCUGAGGGCCUACAUCCUAAGGCAUUUAUCAACAAGGAUUUCUGCUAAACCAUUAUGAAUAUUUUGCAGAGCAGUUGACUUCACUUGAGCAUUUCUUUCCACGGUGUACAUUUGCAUUUUAUGGACUCUAUACACAUAAGGGAAAACAUUAAGAAGGGGAAAAUAUCACUUUAUGUUUCUUCUUGAAGACUAGUGUUGCCAUUUAAAUGCUAUGGUGUCAAAAAAUGCAGUUACUGAAAUCCAUGUAUAAACUGUGGCCAACUGAGUUGUGGUAGAAAAGUAAUAUGAGAAUUCGAGGUUCUCCCUGCAUGAUGCACCUCUGUCAGAGUGUGCUUUUGGUGGAGUCACAGCUGAUUUUUGUGGCCCAGGGGGUCAUAAACAUGUCUCUCUUUAAUGGCCAAACACAGCUAGCCUUAUUGGCUUCCAAAUCUGUGAAUCAGCAUCAUAGAGCAGGAGGCCAAGAUAAAAUUGUCCAUUGAUUCAGAUACGGAUAAUGUGUCUUGCAUGACCAACUCCCUCAGUGCAACUCUACUUCAAUAUAUAGAAUGAUGAUUUUUACAGUAACUUUAGUGGCUUGCUUGGAAAAAAAAUAAUGUACUGGUGCCUCUCAGGGCUUAUAUUUUUUAAUGUGUUUUGGCUUUUUGUGUGUGUGUUUGUGUAGACAAAUAGUGUUGUUUGGUAUGCUAAUCAACUAAAUGGAGAGGGGAAAAAAAAUUACUUGGGGAAACCUUGUCAGAUUCUGGCUAGAGGCCAAAUUCAAACAUUUUAUGACUGCAAAUUUGUUGCAGAGAAUCAAAGAAACAGUAGGCAGAGAAUCCAGAAGCAGAAUAAAUUAACCUCUGUUAAAUUCCAUCAGGAGAGUCUGUAGAGCAAGGGAAAAGAAAAGCCGGUAAAGUUUGCCUUUCCUUUGAAGCUCCUCUAGAGUAUAUCUUUAAUGAUGGCUGUCACCACUCUUUUUUUCCAGAUGAUAACAAACGUACAGGCUCAAGGUUUUUAGGGAGGAGAUGACAGAGCUAAACAAAACUAAGCUCAGGGUGCCCCUUGCACUGACAGUUGUCUGUAAGUAUUCCCCUAGUACAUUAAUUAAAGCACUAAACCAGGAGAGUAACUCUCAAGGUGGCAUUUGAAAGUGGAGGAGGGGGAUGAUAUUUCUUCUCAGAGUUAAAUUUGGAAUGACUCCAGUGGUGGGAAAUGCAGAAUCCUCUGUUCUGCAGCAGGUUGGGGAAACCAGCUGCACAACAAAAGCUGGGGUCCAGACAGUUGCACAAAUUUAGAGAGAGAAAUACUUGUAAAAAUACGCAAAAAAAAUGAGUAGCUUGGUAAAAGCUCCUUUUUUUUUUUUUUUCUCUCCCCCUUGUAGCGAAUGCGCUUAGUAAUAGGUUUAUUUUUGAGUUCUAAAAGAAUUUCUGUCAAAUACAAUUAUCAGGGAAGACUAAAACUGUGAAGGUAUCAAAGCUAUGUUCGCAGAAAUUUGUUUUCAGAGCACUUGUAGAUGGAAGAUGUUUGUUGAGCUUCUUUGUGUUGUUUCAUGUUUCUUUUCUUUACGAAUCUUCCAGCUGUGGUACAUGCUGUCUGUUUAAAGACAAGAAGCCAGCAGUUUUCUUUCUAAAAAAGCCUCUGGCAGCUGAAUUGUAUUUACUUUUUUCUCUCUGUCUCUGGCUGUAAAGAAAGGCAGGAAAGUGAAACAAAGCAGAGAAAUAAAGCAGUCUGUCACACUGAAAACCUCUUAAACAUGAAUAAUAAACUUUAUUGACUAAGUAAUUCUCUUUGAUACUUUUGCUUUUCAUAGUUUUAACUGUUCUCACUUAAAACACCGUUGCAUGAAUACAAGGAAAUUGUCUUUAUUGUUAAACUGUAAGAAGCAUCACAUUUGUGUUAACAGACAACCAGGUUUGAAAGAAUGUAAAAAAAUAUUUUGAUUGUAGUUAGAAAAGCAAAUGUAUAUCUUUCAAAUGUCUGAAGACUCAUUUCAUUUAUAUUCAAGGUAAGACUGGGAUAUUAUCAUGAAAUGCGUAUUAAUUGCUACUUUUACAUUUUGCAUGGUAUGCAUAUUACCUGUUGAAGGUAUCCUCUCUGUUCAUGGGUCUUUAAGGACUUAAGUGUUAUGUGUAGAUCAAAUAUCCCACUCUAUACAUUAAUCUAUCUUCUCUCUGUGUAAACCAUCACAACAGUGAUUCCUGGUUGAUGAACUGAGCAUGACUUUGAGUACAGGGAGAAGAGAUUACAUGAAUUUAUUUCCUAUUUUUGGACUGCUCAGUAGUCCACAAUUCAAACAUGUGCCACAUGAUCUAGUGAGAAUUAAAUGUCAUUAUUUGAAUGUCAAAGAAAUGAUGCCCUGAAUUCAAAUUGAGGAACCCUGAAUUGCAUUCAGCUGUCCUUGCAGGUGGUUGCCAUUACUAAUGAUGAGUUAAGUGUCCAGGUAUGUUGGCAGAGUAUGAGAAGAAAAGGUGGAUUGUGUUUGCAGAAAAGCAGGUGUUAAUUAACAGGGGUACCUGGUGUCUUGUGCUUUGGAGCCACAGCUAGAAUGUCUCCAUCACUGCUGUACCAAGGAAAGUCCUGUGCAGAUUAUUUCAGAGAAACCAUGUCAUGUUUGUUUUAAGGGCUGGAAGCAGGAGCUUUGAACAUUUCAAUUAUGCUUUUAUGUUAAGUUUCUCUGGUGGAAAUGGCAAGUCACACUGCUAUUUUACCCUUACUCAGUUCUCCUGUGUUGCUGGGGUGCUCGUGUAGACUCCAGUGGGAUGUGACCAGGGCUAUGGAUGUGCAGAGGAGAGGGAUGGACCUCCCCAGUGCAGGAAGAUCCUCCUAACUAAAGCAGAGAGAGCAGAAGGUUUCUCCACCUAUAACUUCAUGCUGAAUUAAUUUAAGACUUGAACAGAGCUGCUGUAUUCAGUAGUUUAUAAAUUAUGUCUUUUUUCUUGGAGGAAAAAGUCUAAUUCAGUCCUCUAAACAUAUGCAAGCUCACCUUGCACAGGCAUCAAAUCCUGCUCUCUUAAAAUUCAUGUGCAAUUUGCUGAGGUUCAAAGCUGCAGUAGGUUGACUCGUUCUUCCACCAGGCAAAACCAUCACCAUGUGUUUUGAAGUGUCAGUACAGCAAUGUAAGUGAAGAGGAUGCAUGAAAGGGCAGGAGGCAAGAUCUAUUGCUCAUACUUCAAGAUGUAAACCGAAGAUCACGUCAGAUUGGCUACCUGUUCUGACCUGAGUAGAAAUAUUUAAAGACUUCAUUGUCUCAAGAGAAGACUUCCCUUACUGCAGGCUCAUCUGGGACAGAGCUCACAGCAGUAGAAAGCCAAGGCCAUUUGGCAGCCCUGGCAAUGGCAUGGUUUGUCUGUCCUAAACUCCUUUGGUACCUAGAGGUUCCUGACAAUCACAUUUUGGCUUUAUUUCUAGUAAGUGUUAUGACAAACGUAAUGAUAAAUUUCAGAUUAUCCUUUAAAAAGUCUUACAUUUGGUCAUGUGUUGUUAAUGAUUACAGAGUGACAUCCUAGAAGAUGCACUGAAGUCAGACCUUCGGUUUCUUGUAUGUAGCAUUUGUUGCAGUUCAGCUGUGAACUGCAGUGACAAGAAGCAUCAGUGACUGUACAGCUAAAACUUGUGCUUGGAAAACAGCAGGUGAUAACUUGCAGGAAAUGGGCAGAAAGAUGUAUCUGCCAGGAUGAGCAUUAUCUGCUGUGUAAAAAAAGUACCUUUCCCCAGUGACCAUGUUGGCAGGGCAGGACUGUCAAGGCAGUUCUCAGCCUUAAUAAAUGAUUUCUUGCUAACAGUUCUUAUCUUGUAUUCGUGGCUUUUAUUAUCCUGUAUGUUUCUUCUCCAUAACAGAAGCAAACUGACUCUCUGUAGAUAACA